UACAGAGGGGGCAAGCGUUAUUCGGAAUUAUUGGGCGUAAAGGGCGCGUAGGCGGCGAUUCAAGUGACGGGUGAAAUCCCUCGGCUUAACCGAGGAACUGCCUGUCAGACUGGAUUGCUUGAGGCCGGGAGAGGCGAGUGGAAUUCCCAGUGUAGCGGUGAAAUGCGUAGAUAUUGGGAGGAACACCAGUGGCGAAGGCGGCUCGCUGGACCGGUGCUGACGCUGAGGCGCGAAAGCGUGGGGAGCAAACAGG
rnacentral:rRNA from 1 species